rnacentral:rRNA from 1 species
UACAGAGGUCCCAAGCGUUUGUUCGGAUUCACUGGGCGUAAAGGGUGCGUAGGUGGUCGGGUAAGUCUGAUGUGAAAGCUCUGGGCUCAACCCAGAAAUGGCAUUGGAUACUAUCUGGCUAGAGGAAUGGAGGGGGGGACUGGAAUACUUGGUGUAGCAGUGAAAUGCGUAGAUAUCAAGUGGAACACCAGUGGCGAAGGCGAGUCCCUGGACAUUUCCUGACACUGAGGCACGAAAGCUAGGGGGAGCAAACAGG